rnacentral:lncRNA from 1 species
UUUGUCUUUUUAUUAAUAUUUACUAUUAGUUGCGACUUAACACCAAAGCUACCUCAUCUAAAAAAGUCCUUAUUACUGAUUAUUGCCAUCUUAAUAACUUUAGUACAAUAGAACAACCAUUGGAUACCGCCUUUUCAGCUUUCGAAACGAAGGAUGAGGUAAGUGAUCUUUCUCAGUAUGCUUCCUGCUUGUCGAAUGAGCCAGGAAAAGGAAAGAUCAUUUUUUACACUUGUUCAGCGUGUACCUGGGCUCAAGGAUCGGCUCGCCUGGGCCAUGUCUCAUUCCAGCGACAUAGCCAAAGGUGUUUAUACUGUGGAUCAAGACAAUCGAGUUUCAAUCGAGACCAAUCCUAUGUUAGAUAAUAAUGAUUAUCUGGAGUCACUCAAUACCAUUACCGAAGGUCUCAUUGGACUUAUGUA